UCCCAGCUGCGGAGGUUGGGCCUGGGGCUGGGGUGCGAGGAGAGUCGGCGCGCAGCUCGGACCCGAGAAGUCCCCGCGACUCCGGUCGCGCCUCGGAUCCUGCGCGAGGCGCCAACAAAAGAGGCGAGGAGGUGCCACCCGGGGGCGGCUACUGGAAGAGGCACGGAGGAAGAGCGCGGCGCUGAGCGUCCCGACCCGCCGUGCGUACUUUCUGGAGGGAAGGGGCGGGGGACUCGGCCCCGGGAGGGGGACGCCCGGCGGCGAGGGGGUUAGCCAAGUUCCUGCGGCAGCGGCGGCAGCGGCGGCAGCGGCGGCGGCAGCGGCCCUCCUCAGCUUCCACAAGACCAAAGUUUUCUCCAGACGCUUCCGGCCGGCCCGCGCCCUCCGGGCCCAACCUCCCGAACCUUCGGAGCGGGCAGCGUCCCAGCCCAGCU
rnacentral:lncRNA from 1 species